rnacentral:rRNA from 1 species
UACGAAAGGAGCAGGUGUUAUUCAGAUUAACUGGGGCGUAAAGGGCACGUAGGUGGUUUUGUUUAUGUGUAUUAUUAAAUUGUAAAGCAUAACUUUAUAACGUAAUUACAGACACAAAACUAGAGUUAGGUAGAGGGUAGUAGAAUUUCUAAUGUAAAGGUGAAAUUUGAUAAAUUAGAGAGAAUACCAAUGGCGUAAGCAACUAUCUG